UGUGUGACUGCGUACCUUUUGUAUAAUGGGUCAGCGACUUAUAUUCUGUAGCAAGGUUAACCGAAUAGGGGAGCCGGAGGGAAACCGAGUCUUAAUUGGGCGUUAAGUUGCAGGGUAUAGACCCGAAACCCGGUGAUCUAGCCAUGGGCAGGUUGAAGGUUGGGUAACACUAACUGGAGGACCGAACCGACUAAUGUUGAAAAAUUAGCGGAUGACCUGUGGCUGGGGGUGAAAGGCCAAUCAAACCGGGAGAUAGCUGGUUCUCCCCGAAAGCUAUUUAGGUAGCGCCUCGUGAAUUCAUCUCCGGGGGUAGAGCACUGUUUCGGCUAGGGGGCCAUCCCGGCUUACCAACCCGAUGCAAACUGCGAAUACCGGAGAAUGUUAUCACGGGAGACACACGGCGGGUGCUAACGUCCGUCGUGAAGAGGGAAACAACCCAGACCGCCAGCUAAGGUCCCAAAGUCAUGGUUAAGUGGGAAACGAUGUGGGAAGGCCCAGACAGCCAGGAUGUUGGCUUAGAAGCAGCCAUCAUUUAAAGAAAGCGUAAUAGCUCACUGGUCGAGUCGGCCUGCGCGGAAGAUGUAACGGGGCUAAACCAUGCACCGAAGCUGCGGCAGCGACGCUGAUGCGUUGUUGGGUAGGGGAGCGUUCUGUAAGCCUGCGAAGGUGGCCUGUGAGGGUUGCUGGAGGUAUCAGAAGUGCGAAUGCUGACAUAAGUAACGAUAAAGCGGGUGAAAAGCC
rnacentral:rRNA from 1 species